UGCAUUCAGUACUGUAAAUCGCUCUGGAUAAGAGCAUCUGCUAAAAUGCCUGAAA
rfam:Salmo salar isolate Sally breed double haploid chromosome ssa04, whole genome shotgun sequence.